UGCGUAGGCGGGGGAUUAAGUCAGUGGUGAAAUCCUACAGCUUAACUGUAGAACUGCCAUUGAUACUGGUUUUCUUGAGUAUAGUUGAAGUGGGCGGAAUGUGUAUUGUAGCGGUGAAAUGCUUAGAUAUUACACAGAACACCUAUUGCGAAGGCAGCUCACUAAACUAAUACUGACGCUGAGGCACGAAAGCGUGGGUAGCGAACAGGAUUAGAUACCCUGGUAGUCC
rnacentral:rRNA from 1 species